GUUGGGGGUUACACUGAUGUCCAUGUUGAUCAUUGUGCUGCUGGAGUGUGCUGUCUGAGUAGGAGAUAGACUAUGAGCAGUGAGUGUCUGG